UACGUAGGAUGCAAGCGUUGUCCGGAAUUAUUGGGCGUAAAGAGCGCGCAGGCGGUGUGACAAGUCAGAUGUGAAAGAGGCCGGCUUAACCGGCAAGGGUCAUUUGAAACUGUCAGACUAGAGUACAGCAGAGGAUAGCGGAAUUCCCGGUGUAGUGGUGAAAUGCGUAGAUAUCGGGAGGAACACCAGUGGCGAAGGCGGCUAUCUGGGCUGAAACUGACGCUGAGGCGCGAAGGCUAGGGUAGCAAACAGG
rnacentral:rRNA from 1 species